UCUUCUAAACUAGUCUCUGGUGUUUUUCAGAAUCGCUCAUCAAAAUUUUCACUUGCUUGUUUUUUUUUCUUUCUAGGGUUUGGUUUCUAACUUGUUGUUCUGUUCUUUUUCAGGUUUUGGAUUUUUGGAUGAUGAUGAUUUUAUGGAGGAGGAUCUUACGAUGGAUCGGUGAUGGUUUGACUGAUCCUUUUCACUCAUAUUCAUGUUAGGAUCUUAGAGGCAACGGGAUUACUGUGUGGGAGGUUCGGAGAGAAAUCAUUGUAGGAGUGCGUAUGUGAUAUCAGAGUUUUAACUUUCAGGUUUUGAAUGAUGGUUUUAUCAAUCAAUGAUGAUGGCUUUGAUGGACAAGCUUCUUCUUUGUGCUACGCCUUCAGGG